GAUGAACGCUGGCGGCGUGCCUAAUACAUGCAAGUCGAGCGAACUGAUUAGAAGCUUGCUUCUAUGACGUUAGCGGCGGACGGGUGAGUAACACGUGGGCAACCUGCCUGUAAGACUGGGAUAACUUCGGGAAACCGAAGCUAAUACCGGAUAGGAUCAUCUCCUUCAUGGGAGAUGAUUGAAAGAUGGUUUCGGCUAUCACUUACAGAUGGGCCCGCGGUGCAUUAGCUAGUUGGUGAGGUAACGGCUCACCAAGGCAACGAUGCAUAGCCGACCUGAGAGGGUGAUCGGCCACACUGGGACUGAGACACGGCCCAGACUCCUACGGGAGGCAGCAGUAGGGAAUCUUCCGCAAUGGACGAAAGUCUGACGGAGCAACGCCGCGUGAGUGAUGAAGGCUUUCGGGUCGUAAAACUCUGUUGUUAGGGAAGAACAAGUACAAGAGUAACGGCUUGUACCUUGACGGUACCUAACCAGAAAGCCACGGCUAACUACGUGCCAGCAGCCGCCGUAAAAC
rnacentral:rRNA from 1 species